GACGAACGCUGGCGGCGUGCCUAAUGCAUGCAAGUAGAACGCUGAAGGAGGAGCUUGCUUCUCUGGAUGAGUUGCGAACGGGUGAGUAACGCGUAGGUAACCUGCCUGGUAGCGGGGGAUAACUAUUGGAAACGAUAGCUAAUACCGCAUAAUAGUAGAUGUUGCAUGACAUUUGCUUAAAAGGUGCAAUUGCAUCACUACCAGAUGGACCUGCGUUGUAUUAGCUAGUUGGUGGGGUAACGGCUCACCAAGGCGACGAUACAUAGCCGACCUGAGAGGGUGAUCGGCCACACUGGGACUGAGACACGGCCCAGACUCCUACGGGAGGCAGCAGUAGGGAAUCUUCGGCAAUGGACGGAAGUCUGACCGAGCAACGCCGCGUGAGUGAAGAAGGUUUUCGGAUCGUAAAGCUCUGUUGUAAGAGAAGAACGAGUGUGAGAGUGGAAAGUUCACACUGUGACGGUAUCUUACCAGAAAGGGACGGCUAACUACGUG
rnacentral:rRNA from 1 species